CUGGCCGGCGCGGUACCACACGCUGGCCAGGUUGGAGAGCACGAGGGCGCGACGCACCACCGGUGCCGACUCUGCGUCCUCUAGGCGGGCGAGCACUGACGUCACGUCGUAGAGAAAGAGCACGGCGUUGUGGAGAAACAGGUUGAGCAACAGGGUGCGCAUGGCCGCCGAGCGCAUGCGACCCGGCCGCGGCCGGGGUCUCGUCGUCGUUGUACUCGGGAUGACUGAUGCAGCGACGGUGCCCGCGACCACAAGUGCCGGCUCGUCCUCGGCAUAUUCGUCGUAAAAGGCGUCGUCGUCGCUAUAGUCAUAGUAGGACGAGGAGCCGGCCUCGAUGGCAUGAAGACCUGCCUCGACAUCGGCGCCCGGCCCGGCACCGGACGCCACAGGCCGUGGCCGGCCGGCACCCACCGAUGGGCGCUCGCUCAGGUCGACGGGCGCAAUGUAGGACGUGGUGGCCGUGUUGGCCAGGACGCCCGUCGUGAUCAGCGCCGCCAUGGCAUAGACGCCCUCGCUGCCCAGGGCCCACCACACAUAGGCCACCAUGGCGCCGGUGGCCGACCACAUGGCCGCCUCGUAGAGACGCGCGCCCGGAUCGGCCAACGUGCGGCGCACGUGGCGCCACGGUCCCACGCUCACGCCGCGGCACAGCCACAGGAGCAGCAGCGAGCACACGAUCUGUAGGCCUGUCGUACGCCCACGCCCACACCAACAGAAGAAGAAAAAGAGAGAUUAAAAAAAUGGAAAAAUGGGUAUAAUAAAAAAGAAAAGAAAGAGUCGGCGCAUGCCGCCAUAAAGCACAAACAAAAAAAC
rnacentral:lncRNA from 1 species